GAAAAGAGUGUUCCAGGUGGAAGAAUCAGCAUAUGCAAAUUCCUAGGAGCUUGAAGAAACUGAGAAUCAUCGUGGGGUUGUUAAGAUUUUAGCCUGACUAGAAUAUGGCUGUACAGAGUACGGCUGGGAGAUGCUAAUACUGCAGCAAGAGGAGGUCACGCGGAAAAGACCCCUGUGAGGCCUAAUAGGAAGUCUUCGGUUUGUCAUCAGAGAAAUGAAAAUCAGUAAGAUUUUAUCCAUCUGAACCGAGCAAGCAACAGAAUGCAGACAAAUCACUAAGACUGGCUAUGGUGGGAAGGAGUGGGGAAGAGGCUCCUAAUGUGUUGUAAAACCACAGGAAAGAUAAAGGUAGUCUAAUGAAAUGAAAAUACUGAGAUUGGGGCCCCAGAUGGCUGAGUAGAAGCAGCCAGUGUGCACUGCGCUCAUGGAAAAGAGAAAGGGGAACAAGUGAGCACUAGCUCCUCAACUGGAUGGGCCAGGCGGACACACUGGGGUUAAUCAAGGAAGCAAC
rnacentral:lncRNA from 1 species